ensembl:misc_RNA 7SK 7SK RNA
AGAUGUGAGGGUGAUCUAGCUGCGACAUCUAUCACCCCAUUGAUCGCCAGUGUUGAUUCGGCUGAUCUGGCUGGCUAGGCGGGUGUCCCCUCCCUCCCUCACCUCCAUGGACAUCCCUCCCCGAAGCUGCGCGUUUGGUCGAAGAGGACAGGACAACCAUCCACCAUAGAGGAGGACUGGUUUUUGGUCAAGGGUAUAGGAGUAGCUGCGCUCCCCUGCUAGAACCUUCAAAUACUCUAAAUACUUUAAAUACUCCCAAAUACUUUAAAGAGAAACAUGCAUCUAUACUUUUAAAUUGUGAGAAGUUUUUUAU